rnacentral:lncRNA from 1 species
AUGACAGGGGAUGGAAGAAAUAAGUCAGGGGGUUUUGAGGAUAAGCCUGAAAUAUGUUUCUUUGCAGGCAGUAGGGAAGGAGUCAGCAGACAGAGACUGAGAAUAAGUCAGAGUGUGGGGACAGAUUCCAGUUCCAUUGCCAUGUGGACCAUUUCAACUAUUUCAGGUCCUGAGCUCUGUGGCUCUCAGGCUCAGGCCAAACACUCAGCCAAUAAAAGAUCACAGAGCACUUAUGAUAUGUCACAUCACCAAGGUAACAGGAGGGAUGGUGAUAAACAAAGGGUGGAGCCUGGGGAGAUCAUUUCUGAAAAGAAAAAGAUGAGUGAUAAAGUAGAGAACAAGGAAUACAAGAUGAAAGCAUGUGAUAGCUCUAUUGUGAAUUGACUGUAUGUUCAUCAAAUGAGAGAACAAAUGGAGCACUUUCAAAAUCAGAAGAAGCAAAGCAAUAAAGAAGUACUGAAUUUUCUGGUGAUAAACUAA